GAAUUGGUGGUUCAGUGGUAGAAUUCUUGCCUUCUAUGUGGGAUACCCAGGUUCGAUUCCUGGCCAGUGCA
rnacentral:tRNA from 1 species